UCAAGGCAACGCCGGAUCCUCCACCCACCGAGCAAGGCCAGGGAUGGGCCCCGGUCCUCGUGGAAGCUGGUCAGUCGGGUUUGUUAGCUGCUGAACCACGAUGGGAACUCCCUGUUCUGCCUCUUCUACAUCAUACCCUCCCGAAGGUUCUGGCUCAGUGGUGGGAGCCUGGGGAGAACGCCGCCGUGGCUUGCAGGACACUCAUGUUUCCGUCCUUCCAGAAAUCACAGAACCCCCAAGUCAGGCAUGUUCUCCCUUUGGGGGUGACCCAGGGGCCCAGCCGUGGAGCCGCCCCACUGGCCCAGGACUCUGCUUCUCCCCUUGUCUGACCUUAAUCCUCACCAGCUUCGGCUCAGACGGGUUCUUCAGUCGCGUGAUUUGGGGCUCAGUUUUAACAAAUGCUGCCAUCCACAGUGUGGAGGAAAACAGGUUAGUCACAGUGAAGCCAUUCCCUUGGAAAAGGAGCAAAGAGAAACACCCUGUCUGGGCUGUGCCCGAGAUACAGGGCCUGUGGGGCCCCAGGCUGGGGGCUGGUCUCAGGGCCUCAGCGCGGUGACCUGCAUCUGUGCCGGCCGGGGCUUCCUGCUCAGGACACCUGGCGGCCCAGGUUCUGCCUCCCAGGCCUGUGCCUCUGCCUGUCAGGGCUUCCCGUGUGGGCGCCCUGGGACGGGGCGUCUCUGUUGGGGGGUGGCUGUGCCUUGUAGGGUGUUGAGCAGCCUCCCUGGCUUCUCCCCUCUAGGUGCCAGGAGCACCCCGUCCUGGUUGUGACACCAAAAGUGUUUUCAAAUGUGGCCCCACGUGCCUGGGGCUGAAUUGCCCCCACUGAGAACAGGUGCCAUUCAGGGUCCCUGAGGGCUGUCACUGGCAGGACCUGGAGCCUGGCCGGGUAGGACUGGAGAGAGAGCGUGCGGCCUCAUUUUAACCUUGAGUAAUUCCAUUCGUCAUAAUCAGUGCCCCUGAGUCAGUUUCUUGAACUUCCACGUCUCUCAAACUCCGAAACCAGGGCCGGGCCUCCCCAGCGCCUUCCCUGCUGCCUGCCAGGGCCGGGCCUCCCCAGGCCUCCCCUGCUCCCUGCCAGGGCCGGGCCUCCCCAGCGCCCCGCUGCAAGGUCUGCAGCCCCCUGGAUGGCGACAGUCUGCGGGCACUUGUCCACUCUAACCUGCCCAGGACAGCCUCCUGACCCCAGCCCACCUGCCGUCUCGAGUGCCUGCGAGGUGUGGCCAGGCUUCUAACUGCUUGCAGGCAGAAGGGCUUCCUCUUAACCCAGGGAUGUGCUCACCCAGGCGGCCCUGGCCCUGUCUCACCCCCCAGGCGCUCCCUAUGGUGGCUCCAGUAACGACACAGCAUUCUGAGAGCCACACCCCUAAAGCUUUGGUCUAAACAGGUGGGUGUUCGGUGCCCACGAGCCAAGGGCCUUGUGUAACCAGCUGUUCACCACCCCCGAGCCAGGACCAGGAGGCCACCUCAGCACAGUCAGCUCCGCCUCCCUCAGCAGGGGCUGUGCCUCGCGUGCUGACCUGUCUGGGGAAGGAGGCUGCCUGUGGAUCUUGGUGGGUUGGGGGAGCCGUGUGGCUGUGGAAGCCCAGGGUCAGGGAGGGAAAGGGCCUGGAUGUGUGCCAUCAGCCCGGCCGCCCUGUGCCUACGGGGCCCACCUUGGCGUCCCUCGGCUUUGCGGCAGCCACGGUCCUCGGUGUUCCGGGCCGUGAGGCCAAACCAGGCCGCCCCCAGAGCCAGGGCUCUGUCUAAGGUGAGAGGGGUGGGCGCCAUCCACAGUCACAGGGAAGGCUCCACAUUGGCCCUCCCCUAGCCCCUUGUCCGUGCCUGUGCCCCCGGGGACAUCUGCUCCCCCCUGGUGUCCCUCCGGUAGCUCUGUCGUCACACGGCUCUCUGGGGCAGCUGUGGCGCUGCCGCCAUUCUCUUUUUACAUCCUGUGUCUCUGCCCUUUUCCAGCUUUCUGAGCACAAGCGUCAAGCGGCGGCUGAGCUUCCAGCUGUGCUGCUUCAGCGGCUGAGCAAGGGGCUCCGAGCACAAGGCUGAUGCCACAGCAGGCAGCCCUGGGAGAGGGGGGGUUCCAUGGAGAGGCCGUGCCAGGACUGUUCCAGGGGCCUCCCCAGGCCCCAGGGUUUCUGGAUCCCUGUGCAAAGGAGGAAGCUGAAGAGAGGCCCGGCCUGGCUGUUGAUGAGGAAACUGGAGGGCCGAGUGGCCGUGAGGACAGCAUGUCCGGGUCAGAGGUCACCCUGAACACAGGCCAUGUGACUGAUGGGCGAGGCCCCUGGAAAGGGCGGCCUUAUCAGUGCAGCACCUGUGACAGGAGCUUCAAAUGCUACUCGGAUGCGGUGAAGCAUCAGAGCAUCCACUCUGGGGAGAAGCCCUACGAGUGCAGCGACUGCGGGAAGGCCUUCAUCCACAGCUCCCACGUCGUCAGGCACCAGCGCACCCACAAUGGGGAGAGGCCGUACAUUUGCAAGGAGUGUGGGAAAGCCUUCAGCCAGAGCUUUAACCUCGUCAGACACCAGAGGAGCCACACGGGAGAAAAGCCGUAUGGAUGUGCCGAGUGUGGCAAGUCCUUCGGGCAGAGGUCGGAUGCAGUGAAGCACCGGCGCAUCCACACUGGGGAGCGGCUGUACGAGUGCAGUGACUGUGGGAAGACCUUCAUCCACAGCUCAAAUGUUGUCCGGCAUCAGCGCAUCCACCACGGAGAGAAUCCCUACGAGUGCAAGGAGUGUGGGAAAGCCUUCAGCCAGAGCUCCAACCUGAUCCAGCACCAGCGGGUCCACACCGGGGAGAAGCCCUACGCCUGCCAGGAGUGUGGGCGUGCCUUCAGCCGCAGCUCCUUCCUCAGCGAGCACCGGCGCAUCCAUACCGGGGAGAAGCCCUACGAGUGCAGCGAGUGUGGCCGCGCCUUCAGGGCCUUGUCAGGCUUCUUCCGGCACCAGAGGAUCCACACCGGGGAGAAGCCCUUCCGGUGUGCCGAGUGCGGCAGGGCCUUCCGCUUGAGCUUUCAUCUCAUCCAGCACCGGCGGGUUCAUGGCACGGAGUGACCCUGUGAUGGGGUGAAUGUGCAGCAGAAAACUGAGCAGCCGCCUGGCUUUGCCCCCGUGCCGGCAUACAGAGCGCUGCUCAGCUUCAGGAGGUGUCCCAAGACAGAGCAAGCUUAAGGUGUUUAUACUUUCAACUUCCUCAGCAUUGCCUGUCCAGGCUCUACACCACUGCCGUGGGGGGAAAGCCAGCAUGAUGUCUGCUCUCAAGGGCUGCCAGCUAACAGCCCAGGAACAGAAGCACAUGCAGAGAACCAGUGGCAGAGAGAUGAGGAAACAAGACUGGGGCAGGAGUGCCCAAGGGAGGGGAUUCCUGAGCUGGCUGCUUGAAGGGCUUACUCAGCAGAAGGACUGGAAGCUGUGUACAAAGCACAGGUCAGGGCCCACGGGACUGUGAGGAGCGUGAGACACGUGCUCACUCACAGGACCUCGCGGUUUGCAGCUGGGAGAUGAGGUGAAAGGUGAGACGGCUCCGGGUGAACUCUGUGUGUGACCCCAUCGCUGACAUCACAGCACAGCGGACACGUGUGGAUGUCACCUGCCGUCGGAAGGGAGUUUCUGUUGGAGACAAGCCCCGUGCGUAUCAUAAGACUCCGCCCUAAAGACACGAGUGAGGUCCUGCUGUUGACAGUUUACUGGAAUGACUAAGACAGACCUGAGCGGUCACCUGGUCCGGGGUCCAGAACAGGACCCGGAUCCUCCCGCUCAGGCUGGUUUGGUGUCCCUGGCCUCAGCCGUCUCUGCUCUAGCUCAGCUACUGACUGAAUCAUUGGGUCUGGUGGCCGGCUGGGAUGUCCAAAAUAGUAGCUCAGUUCUGGGGCUCUUGUUGGCCCCGAUUUCUUUUUAAGGUGUGAGCUUUAGGCUACAAGGUUGUGCAGCCUGUGGGGGCAGAGCUGCCUCAGAGCAGAUUCAGCGGCACCACAGCCCCUGUGCUGCUGCCUUGCGGGCCGAGGUGAGGUGGGAAGAGGAACCUGUGAGUCCUGCACUGAGCCAAGACCCUCAGAUGGGCUGAACUGUCUGUCCCAGGUCCAUGGUGCCCCCCAGCUGCCACCAAAUGCCAAAGCACCCACUGUCUGGAGGAAGGCUUCCCCUGCUUAGAUUAGACCCUGUAGGGCCCCGCUCAUGAGAUCGAGCUGGGAGCUUACAGAAAUCACCAGGUAAACAGGAGGGUGUCUCACUGGCUGAGGCUCAACAAAAAGCCAAGAACAGACAAGCACAGAGAACUGCAGCUGGUGAGACCGCAGGGUGACGCAGGCAAGAGCGUAGUUACAAAGAGUUGAAAGAAGAAAGACGUGUUCCUGCUAAAACCUGGAACAAGAAGGAUGCCUGCUCUCACCCCUUCCAUUCAGCAUAGUACUAGUUCUAGCCACAGCAGUCAGACAAGAAACAAAAAGGUAUCCAGGCUGGAAGGAAAGAGGUAACGUCACUACAUGCAGGUGACAUGACACUGUACAGAAAACCCUAAAGCUCCACACAGAAACUUCUAGAACUGAUCCAUGGAUUUAGCAAGAUAGCAGGAUACAAGAUUAACUACAAAAAUCAGUUGCAUUUCUUUACAGUCACGAUGAAAUAGCAAGUUAAAAAAAAUC